UGUAAAGUUCAAGCUCCGAUUAUGAGGGCGAAACCGCGAAUGGCUCAUUAAAUCAGUCAUAAUCUACUUGAUUGUUUAAAGUUUAUAUGGAUAACUGUGGUAAUUCUAGAGCUAAUACAUGCACAAAUGGGGCGACUUUGGUCAAACAAAGAAGCUCUGCGUUUAUUAGACUAAGACCAAUGGGGUUUUCGGACCUCUGAAAGCAAGGUGACUCUGAGUAAAUAAUGGGUGAAAGCCCAUGAUGCCGAGCUGGCGCAACGGGCGCAAGCCUGCCAGCCAAAUCAAUCGAGUGUCUGCUCUAUCAACUGUGGAUGGUAGGAUAAUUGCCUACCAUGGUGGUGACGGGUAACGGGGAGUUAGGGCUCGACUCCGGAGAACAAGCCUGAGAAACGGCUAGUAGGACUAAGGUCUGCAGCAGGCGCGAAACUUACACAAUGCUAGAUUACCAUUAGCGAUGUAGUGAAGAAAAAUAACGAUGUACUUGCAUUUAAACAUGUUAGUACAAUUGGAAUGAGACGACUACAAAUCAGUUAGUCGAGUAACAAAUGGAGGGCAAGUCUGGUGCCAGCAGCCGCGGUAAUUCCAGCUCCAUUAGCAUACAUUAAAGUUGUUGCGGUUAAAAAGCUCGUAGUUGAAUUUUAGGUUGGCUCUAUUGGGCUGCAGCCGUACAAGGGUUGAUCACUCAGCCUGGCUGCAUUUGCCCGCUAGGAACCAACUGUUUCGUCACUUAAUCGAGUGCGAAGCGGGCUGGAGUGGACGGUCGCCUCGCGCGGCCGCCUCUGCUACAGCAUGUUUACCUUGAGAAAAUUAGAGUGCUCACAGCAGGCAGUUGGGGUGUAAAAGCCUCUUUAUGCUUGAAUAAUGUUGCAUGGAAUAAUAGAAUACGGCCUCGGUUCUAUUCUGUUGGUCUUAUAGAACAACAAACAAGUUGGUUAAGGCGACCAAAAGUCACCUGGACGGCGUGGCGCUGGUUGCGCCAGCGGAGCCUCCUGUUGCCUGGAGGUAACACUUCAGCGCCUUAGGCUGCGUUGCGCGCUCCUGCGCCAUCUAAGCGCCCCCAGACUGGCUAGCCUUCUAAUCAACUGAGGCAAUGGUUAAAAGAAAUAGUCGCGGCGGCAUCAGUACUGCAUCGUGAGAGGUGAAAUUCUUAGACCGAUGCAAGACUAACUGAAGCGAAAGCGUUUGCCGAGGAUAUUUUCAUUAAUCAAGAACGAAAGUUAGAGGUUCGAAGGCGAUCAGAUACCGCCCUAGUUCUAACCAUAAACGUUGCCAACUAGCAAUUGGGUUGCGAUUCCUUUAAUCGAAGCGUAAAAACCUUCGAUCAUUAUGAUCCACCCAGCGGCUCUCGUAGGGAAACCAAAGUGUUUGGGUUCCGGGGGAAGUAUGAUUGCAAAGUUGAAACUUAAAGGAAUUGACGGAAGGGCACCACCAGGAGUGGAGCCUGCGGCUUAAUUUGACUCAACACGGGGAAACUUACUAGAUUAAAACUCUGGAAUGAUUGACAGAUUGAUAGCUCUUUCUUGAUUCAGAGGAUGGUGGUGCAUGGCCGUUCUUGAUUCGUAUUCCGAAACGUCUGCUUAAUUGCGAUAACGAGUGAGACCUCACCCAACUAACUAGUCGUUUGGUGCGCUGUUGGAACGCAAAAGUUUGGCCUUAGUUUAGUUCCAGGUUGGCUUUCGGGUUGGCCUGGUCCGCUUGGGUCAGAUGUUCUCUGCUCGCCAGCGGACUUCUUAGAGGGAUAAACGGUGUUUUAGCCGUAAGAAACGAGGCAAUAACAGGUCUGUGAUGCCCUUAGAUAUUCUAGGCCGCACGCGUGCUACAAUGGCGUGUGCAGAAAGCUUGUUCGAGGUUUGUCCGGAGAGAACUAGUUGUUUGGUUGCGUGGCGGGUGGCAACACUUGUUGCGUGGUCGGCGAAAAAGUGACUCCGGUUAGCAGGCCGAGAGAAACCGUAGCCGAAAGGUUACGGCAAUCAGAAAUACACGCCGUGAUUUGGGAUUGGGGAUUGCAAUUGUUGCCCAUGAACGAGGAAUUCCCAGUAAGCGCAAUUCAUCAUAUUGCGUUGAUUACGUCCCUGCCCUUUGUACACACCGCCCGUCGCUACUACCGAUUGGAAGUUUUAGUGAGGCAUUUGGACCUGCUAUCUAUCGGGGGAGGCAACUCCUCUUGGACGGCGGGGAAGUCUGUCGAACUCAAAUUUCUAGAGGAAGUAAAAGUCGUAACAAGGUUUCCGU
rnacentral:rRNA from 1 species